GAUGAACGCUGGCGGCGUGCCUAAUACAUGCAAGUCGAGCGAACAGACGAGGAGCUUGCUCCUCUGACGUAAGCGGCGGACGGGUGAGUAACACGUGGAUAACCUACCUAUAAGACUGGGAUAACUUCGGGAAACCGGAGCUAAUACCGGAUAAUAUAUUGAACCACAUGGUUCAAUAGUGAAAGACGGUUUUGCUGUCACUUAUAGAUGGAUCCGCGCCGCAUUAGCUAGUUGGUAAGGUAACGGCUUACCAAGGCAACGAUGCGUAGCCGACCUGAGAGGGUGAUCGGCCACACUGGAACUGAGACACGGUCCAGACUCCUACGGGAGGCAGCAGUAGGGACUCUUCCGCAAUGGGCGAAAGCCUGACGGAGCAACGCCGCGUGAGUGAUGAAGGUCUUCGGCUCGUAAAUCUCUGUUAUUAGGAAAGCACAAAUGUGUAAGCAACUCUGCACGUCUUGACGGUACCUAAUCAGAAAGCCACGGCUACCUACGU
rnacentral:rRNA from 1 species